rnacentral:lncRNA from 1 species
AGGUAAUAGGACCUCUACAUGCGUCUUGGACCUGUUUGCUUGUAAUCAUUAUAUAUCUAAUGGAUUUCUUCUAUAUUCAACGGGGUCUUGAAAGUAGACCAUGCCGCAAAAUAUUGUAUAAAAGGUGCACGCGUAUUAUGCGUGCGUUGUUUUGUGUCUUUUUAUGUAAAUCCAUUGUAGAAAUAUCGUAAUUGAAGUUAGCAUGUACUGUAUGUAAAGUUAUUACUUGGUAAUUGAUAGGUAUAAUUUGAUGAUGCACAUGAAUUUAUCACAGGGUCGGAUUUGACCAUACUGCGAUAUUACAAAUUUAGAAUUGGUAACAAGACUUGUGAUUUUGUGUUGUGUAAUUUUCCUGUAUCUCAUUUGAAUAAAUGGUUUUCUUAAAUUUAUC